AGAAGCAGCCAUCAUUUAAAGAAAGCGUAAUAGCUCACUGGUCGAGUCGGCCUGCGCGGAAGAUGUAACGGGGCUAAACCAUGCACCGAAGCUGCGGCAGCGACGCUUAUGCGUUGUUGGGUAGGGGAGCGUUCUGUAAGCCUGUGAAGGUGUGCUGUGAGGCAUGCUGGAGGUAUCAGAAGUGCGAAUGCUGACAUAAGUAACGAUAAAGCGGGUGAAAAGCCCGCUCGCCGGAAGACCAAGGGUUCCUGUCCAACGUUAAUCGGGGCAGGGUGAGUCGACCCCUAAGGCGAGGCCGAAAGGCGUAGUCGAUGGGAAACAGGUUAAUAUUCCUGUACUUGGUGUUACUGCGAAGGGGGGACGGAGAAGGCUAUGUUGGCCGGGCGACGGUUGUCCCGGUUUAAGCGUGUAGGCUGGUUUUCCAGGCAAAUCCGGAAAACCAAGGCUGAGGCGUGAUGACGAGGCACUACGGUGCUGAAGCGACAAAUGCCCUGCUUCCAGGAAAAGCCUCUAAGCAUCAGGUAACAUCAAAUCGUACCCCAAACCGACACAGGUGGUCAGGUAGAGAAUACCAAGGCGCUUGAGAGAACUCGGGUGAAGGAACUAGGCAAAAUGGUGCCGUAACUUCGGGAGAAGGCACGCUGAUAUGUAGGUGAAGCGACUUGCUCGUGGAGCUGAAAUCAGUCGAAGAUACCAGCUGGCUGCAACUGUUUAUUAAAAACACAGCACUGUGCAAACACGAAAGUGGACGUAUACGGUGUGACGCCUGCCCGGUGCCGGAAGGUUAAUUGAUGGGGUUAGCGGCAACGCGAAGCUCUUGAUCGAAGCCCCGGUAAACGGCGGCCGUAACUAUAACGGUCCUAAGGUAGCGAAAUUCCUUGUCGGGUAAGUUCCGACCUGCACGAAUGGCGUAAUGAUGGCCAGGCUGUCUCCACCCGAGACUCAGUGAAAUUGAACUCGCUGUGAAGAUGCAGUGUACCCGCGGCAAGACGGAAAGACCCCGUGAACCUUUACUAUAGCUUGACACUGAACAUUGAGCCUUGAUGUGUAGGAUAGGUGGGAGGCUUUGAAGUGUGGACGCCAGUCUGCAUGGAGCCGACCUUGAAAUACCACCCUUUAAUGUUUGAUGUUCUAACGUUGGCCCGUAAUCCGGGUUGCGGACAGUGUCUGGUGGGUAGUUUGACUGGGGCGGUCUCCUCCUAAAGAGUAACGGAGGAGCACGAAGGUUGGCUAAUCCUGGUCGGACAUCAGGAGGUUAGUGCAAUGGCAUAAGCCAGCUUGACUGCGAGCGUGACGGCGCGAGCAGGUGCGAAAGCAGGUCAUAGUGAUCCGGUGGUUCUGAAUGGAAGGGCCAUCGCUCAACGGAUAAAAGGUACUCCGGGGAUAACAGGCUGAUACCGCCCAAGAGUUCAUAUCGACGGCGGUGUUUGGCACCUCGAUGUCGGCUCAUCACAUCCUGGGGCUGAAGUAGGUCCCAAGGGUAUGGCUGUUCGCCAUUUAAAGUGGUACGCGAGCUGGGUUUAGAACGUCGUGAGACAGUUCGGUCCCUAUCUGCCGUGGGCGCUGGAGAACUGAGGGGGGCUGCUCCUAGUACGAGAGGACCGGAGUGGACGCAUCACUGGUGUUCGGGUUGUCAUGCCAAUGGCACUGCCCGGUAGCUAAAUGCGGAAGAGAUAAGUGCUGAAAGCAUCUAAGCACGAAACUUGCCCCGAGAUGAGUUCUCCCUGACUCCUUGAGGGUCCUGAAGGAACGUUGAAGACGACGACGUUGAUAGGCUGGGUGUGUAAGCGCAGCGAUGCGUUGAGCUAACCGGUACUAAUGAACCGUGAGGCUUAACCUU
rnacentral:rRNA from 1 species